GACGAACGCUGGCGGCGUGCUUAACACAUGCAAGUCGAACGGUAAGGCUCCAGCUUGCUGGGGUACACGAGUGGCGAACGGGUGAGUAACACGUGGGUGACCUGCCCUGCACUUCGGGAUAAGCCUGGGAAACUGGGUCUAAUACCGGAUAGGACCGCACCGUGAGGGUGUGGUGGAAAGUUUUUUCGGUGUGGGAUGGGCCCGCGGCCUAUCGGCUUGUUGGUGGGGUAAUGGCCUACCAAGGCGGCGACGGGUAGCCGGCCUGAGAGGGUGGGCGGCCACAUUGGGAAUGAGACACGGGCCAGACUCCUACGGGAGGCAGCAGUGGGGAAUAUUGCACAAUGGGCGGAAGCCUGAUGCAGCGACGCCGCGUGGGGGAUGACGGCCUUCGGGUUGUAAACUCCUUUCACCAUCGACGAAGGGUUUCUGACGGUAGAUGGAGAAGAAGCACCGGCUAACUACGUGCCAGCCGCCGCAGUAA
rnacentral:rRNA from 1 species